rnacentral:rRNA from 1 species
AUGUUAUAUGCUAUAAAUAUUGCUAGCCAAAUGGGUUGUGACAAAGUAAUGUUAGAGACAGAUUCAGUUCAGUUAAGGAAGGCUGUAUCUACUGAAGAAUAUGAUUUGUCUGCACUAGGGCCCAUUUUUAGAGAGAUUAAGUAUCAGCUACAUGUAGGAUUUUCUGAUGCGUGUGUUGUAAAUUGCCUUCGAGCAUGUAAUUUGGUGGCACAUGGUUUAGCGGCUUUCGGUGCUAGUUUAAACUCUGAAGCGUGUGUCACUUGGCUGGGGCAUCUUCCAGAGUUUGUACUAAACUUUGUAGCUGGCGACCUGUCCGGCAAUGAUAUGUAA